CCUACGGGUGGCAGCAGUGGGGAAUAUUGCGCAAUGGGCGAAAGCCUGACGCAGCGACGCCGCGUGAGGGAUGAAGGUCUUCGGAUUGUAAACCUCUUUCAGCAGGGAAGAACGGUCACUGUGCUAAUCAGCAGUGACUUGACGGUACCUGCAACGGAAGCACCGGCUAACUCCGUGGCAGCAGCCGCGGUAAUACGUAGGGUGCGAGCGUUGAUCGGAAUUACGGGGCGUAAAGCGCUCGUAGGCGGGAUGUCAAGUCAAGUGUGAAAUCCGCGCGCUCAACGUGGGAACUGCCUUUGAAACUGGAGAACUGGAGUGUGUGAGAGGAUAGUGGAAUUCCAGGGGUAGGAGUGAAAUCCGUAGAUAUCAGGAGGAACAGCAGUGGCGAAGGCGACUAGCUGGAACAUAACUGACGCUGAGGAGCGAAAGCGUGGGUAGCAAACAGGAUUAGAUACCCUUGUAGUC
rnacentral:rRNA from 1 species